rnacentral:rRNA from 1 species
UACAGAGGUCCCGAGCGUUGUUCGGAUUCACUGGGCGUAAAGGGUGCGUAGGUGGUUAGGUAAGUCCGAUGUGAAAUCUCCAGGCUCAACCUGGAAAUGGCAUUGGAUACUAUUUAGCUUGAGGAGGUGGAGGGGGGGACUGGAAUUCUCGGUGUAGCAGUGAAAUGCGUAGAUAUCGAGAGGAACACCAGUGGCGAAGGCGAGUCCCUGGACACUUCCUGACACUGAGGCACGAAAGCUAGGGGAGCAAACGG